CAAAAUACUACGUAGUAUCAACGUCAGCUGCAUCGGAAAUCUAGGCUUGCGGCAGAUGUGUCACACAUUCUUUCAAAACUACACCAACAAACCUGUCGAUAAUUCAAUUAAAAACUACCGUACUUAGAAUAAUCUACUAUGACCGAUUUUGAAGAUUGAUUUACAUGCUGCGACAUAUCGGAGUAAAUCCAUAGUAUAAAACACGUGAACCUCACAGUUUGUGUCAAGUUGCGGCGACUCAAUUAUCAAUCUGCUUCCAACUCUCAGUUGUAUCUGAUCGAAAGGAUAUAGGUUCAACCUUCAACAAUGAACACAAAAUCGUUUCUUGUGUUUUUCCUGAUUUUUCUACUGGAAACCCCCAAUAUGCUGGCCCUAGCUGCAAAAGAAACAGCUAAAAUUGAUGUGGGAGCACCGAUAACAGACGCAUUGGAUAAGGCCAAGGGAUUUAUCACUGCUGUGCACGAUGAUGCUAAGCGUAAGCUGGGUGGCUGAAUAAAGUGCAAUGUACGCUGUUAUCGAGUAGCAGUCAAGUUUGGAGUGUUACAUGUUUUAGUGAUCCAGUACGUUUAAAACACAGACUAACAGACAUAACACUAUGAGGGAAUUCCCUCAAAAAACACCGAUCCGGCAAUUUUCUUAGAAUACUAGCUCCAUCUUUUAUUCACGGGCCCAAACACUCAUUUGCUGGUGUGUUACCCCUCAGGCUUGGAAACAAUUUUUCAACAGUGGUCUAUCCCCCAUAUCAUUGUUCAUAUGUUAGUGGCGCCAUAAUUUCAAAUGCGGCCACAGUCCCAAAGCGGGCGAAGCAUUAUUUUUGAGUGUUAUGUCUGUUAGUCUGUGUUUAAAAUAUAAUUUUUGGUCAUAAUCUGGUGUUUAUAAAUGUUAUAACGGUAAAUAUGAAAUAAGCAAUAAAAAAAUUAUGGGCAGUAAAAUGCUAUCAUAAA